UAUUGAGUUGAGUAAAAGGGAUCGGUUCCGGUCUGAUCACCGAAGAGAAGCAGCGUCGAAUGCGAUUAGCACUGAGAUGGGGGACCGCUUGGGAACACCGCAU
rnacentral:rRNA from 1 species